rnacentral:rRNA from 1 species
CCUACGGGAGGCAGCAGUGGGGAAUAUUGGACAAUGGGCGAAAGCCUGAUCCAGCAAUGCCGCGUGAGUGAUGAAGGCCUUAGGGUUGUAAAGCUCUUUUACUAGGGAUGAUAAUGACAGUACCUAGAGAAUAAGCCCCGGCUAACUCCGUGCCAGCAGCCGCGGUAAUACGGAGGGGGCUAGCGUUGUUCGGAAUUACUGGGCGUAAAGAGUACGUAGGCGGUUAUUCAAGUCAGAGGUGAAAGCCUGGAGCUCAACUCCAGAACUGCCUUUGAAACUAGAUAGCUAGAAUCAUGGAGAGGUUAGUGGAAUUCCGAGUGUAGAGGUGAAAUUCGUAGAUAUUCGGAAGAACACCAGUGGCGAAGGCGACUAACUGGACAUGUAUUGACGCUGAGGUACGAAAGCGUGGGGAGCAAACAGGAUUAGAUACCCUGGUAGUCCACGCCGUAAACGAUGAUAACUAGCUGUUCGGGCCCUCAGAGCUUGAGUGGCGCNGCUACGACAUUAAGUUAUCCGUCCGUCGGGUAGGUACGGUCGCGAGAAUUAAACUAACAAUAGAAGUUAGACGGCGUGAGACGUGCCGACGGACGACGACGAGGGAGGUUAGG